CUUAGUGGAUAGGAAUAAAUUGGUUUUCAUUUGAAUUCAAAAUUUGAUUUGAAUUCAAAUGUGCAAUUACUCAUCUUUAUCCUCUCACGUGGAUAAGACGUUUGACAUUGUUUUAAAAGGAGGAGAAGAGUAGGGCGUGUAAAAAAAGAAAAAUUUUGGAGAGAAAAUUUGGACAUGAGGAAUCCUUGUGUGCAAGGUGAAGGUCUAUAUCCUUCCGAGAGAAAAAGAAAGAAAAGAAAGAAAAAGUGUGCGCAAGGUUUCAGUGAGUUCUUCAGGGUUUCAGCCUGGAGUUCGAGAAGUGAGAAGGUGAGCUACGAGUAUCGUGAGCCCACCAAAUUUUAGAGAGAUCUUCAACAUCC
rnacentral:lncRNA from 1 species